rnacentral:lncRNA from 1 species
UUUAUCUUUAACUCCAUAAGACUACAAGUAUAGUUUUGUCACAACCCAAAAUCCCACCACAGGUGUCGUGAUGGCACUUGGUCUCUAAAACUAAGUAAGCCUGUUAUAAUUACAAUUCAAGCCAAUUUUUUUUUUAAAAAAAAAAAUAGAUAAUCGAAACCAACGGAAAUAAUUACAAACCUCCCAAAACUGGUAAUACUGAGUCACGAACUCUACAUGAAAUGAUCUCAAGGAUCGAAUACUCAAUACUGUUUGAUUAAUAAUUAACAGUACAAUAAAAUGGAAAGACUCCAGGGGACUGCGAUGACCAAGCAGCUCUACCUUGAAUCCUUGCGAUCACACUUUAACGCUGUCCGAGUCCGAUAUCUCCAAUACCUGGCUCUGCACAAAAAUGUGCAGAAGUGUAGUAUGAGUACACCACAGUCGGUACCCAGUAAGUAUCAAGACUAACCUCAGUGGAGUAGUGACAAGGUACAUUCAAGACACUCACCAGUCUAAUAACUUGUGCAAUAUAGUAUACAAAAAUAAUAGGAAACAAAUAACAAUGAUGGAAACAAUAAUCAACCAAUAAUAUACACAGCAGGGCAACAAGAACACCAUAAAUAUUGCUCAACAAAUAAUGAAUAUAAGUAUAACAAAUUAAUCAAGUCCUUCAAAUAUAAAUCUUUCGCCUAUAUAUUUUUCAAAUAAUAAUCUUCAGAAUAUAAUACUUUCCAAUAAAUAUAUUUCGAAUAUACUCCCUUCAAAUAAAUAUCUUUCAAAUAUAAUUAUUUCAAAUAAAUCUCUUUCAAAUAUAAUUCUUUCGAAUAAAAGUCACCAUGUGACACCUCAUUUCAAAAUCAAUAAGAAUACAGAUCUCAGCCCACUUUCAUAUUUCCACGGCACCUCGUACCAAUUUCUCUAUCACAACCGCACGGACAACUCACGUGCCAAUAUCAUCAUCAUUUACUCACGGCACCUCGUGCCCACAUUUCAUAUCACAACUGCACAGACAAUUCACGUGUCAAUAUCAUCAUUAUUUACUCACGGCACCCCGUGCCCACAUUUCAUUUCAUAAUCCGCCUCGUGCCCACAUUUCAUUUCUGCAAUUUGCACCUUCCUACCUCAGCUUUUACCAUGAAGAAAGCCAGUUUCUUAUUCAUUCAUUUCUUGGAACUUUCACUUUUCGGGCAUAGUAUUUCUCUCUGUUUUUCUUUUGAACACAGAAAAAAGUUUACUUGACCUACUCCGAAGAUUUCUAAAUUGACCUGAGAUUCAGCACAGAUCUAGUGUACGCAAACCUUACCCUUACCUUAUGUAGGUAGAGUGGUUAUUUCUAUUAAUGUUGUUGUGAAUUUUAUGAGUUAUUAACGUGUCGCUAAUUCCUGUUUUAGUAAUGAUGCUAAUGUAUAACCAUUAUAAAAUCAUACAUAGUUAUUAUGUAUUCUGUGGAUGGUUAAGUUUCUAAACUUUUUCCCUUUACCUUGUUCUUUAUUUACAGUAUUUCUCAACAUAAUAAACAAAGAAUAAAUAAUUUAACAAAAAGAGAAAAUUAAAAGAAAUGCUGUCUUUGUUAAUCAAAACCACCAUUCCUCUAACAGCUUAGUUAUAAUCCAUUAAAUAAAAGGCACAUCUAUUCAAACUAGUGAGUGUCAUGCAACAAAUAGACAGGUUCUGGAAUCAACGUUGACACACGCACGUAAUAACAACUCACAAUAACUUCACCACCGAACCAACAAUUAAUAUACACUAGCUUUACUUAUAGGGGUCAGCUAAAAUCAGAAGCUUUCUACUGCAUUAAAGCACACACUAAGUCCUGGAGUAGUAAAAUCUAAAUCUACAGUUAAGAGAUUGUUGGGAACUUACUACUCGAUUUCGCCGGAGAAAGAGAAAGAGAGCUGAGAAACAAGUCCACGGCCAAAUGAGAAUGAAGUUGAGCACUGCCGUAAUUUGAAAUUGAAGCGAAAACCAAAAGUACAGAGAGAAAAAGAAGGUACAAGUCAAUAGAUCAAUCAAUCAACUAUAUCUCAAUGAACCUUAAAUAAAAUCACUGAACAAGUUACUCAAUUUAAACUCAUCUCAUGUAAAUAUUAUGGACAUACAGAAAAGAAGUAUUAGAAAAGUUCUGCUAAUUUUCUAGACGUAUAAAUCUAUGAAAGGUUAAAUCACUCUUAGAAAGCAUAGGCCCUACUGUAAUAGUGCUAACCUCUAAAACAGAUGAAAACACACGAAUUAACAGCUGGAGCUCAAUAGUUUUAUGGUCUGAUUAACAAUGUAAACGACCAGAGUCUUCUGAAUCUUCAAAGUUAUGAAGGAAUGAAAGAAUGCAUAGCAAAAAUUACAGGAAAUUAAGGAGGUGCACAGAUGCCUUCACAUUGGGGUUGAUUUAAUACAGACUUAAUAACAGAAGAUUGUAAUCACCUGUAGUUGAGACACUCCAACUCCCAAAACACACACACAAAAACAGAGAUUCAAGGGAAGAAGAGAGGACAGUGUGACUGAACAACCAUGAAGGAAGUAGUUAAACAGAUUCAAAUUUUCAAUUAUCUAUAUUAUCUGCAAAAGAAUGAUGUAGUAGUUAAUAGGAAAAGUAUCUCUGGUCACACUUACUAAUCCAUCCCUUCUCAGUUUUGAUCAACCUGCUAUGCUUUAACCCAACAAGUUGGACAUGAAAUUAUCUCGGGUCACUCUUACAAUUCUGUUCAUAUGCUUAUAUAUAACAAUGUGACUGUGCUACAUAAUGCUUCUAGCUUUAAAUAAAUAUUUGAUUGACAUAGCUAAAUGCAUCUAAGAUUUGUAUCACAAUAUUGACGUGAUAUCAUGACAAGCCUCAGCAUAUGCAUUUUUAUUUCUCCAAUAAGUAAACCUCAACAUAUACACAACAAUAAAAAUUGAGCUAGUUGCCCCGAAAAAUAUUUGUUCCAAACUUAAUUUCCUUCAUAACUUUUUUGUAAACGAAUGCAUAGAGGUCUGAUUAACAAUGCAUAGCAAAAAUUACAGGUCUGAUUAACAAUGCUUGAAAAAUGUAAACGAAUUAAAAAUGAAAGAAUGCAUAGAGGAGGAAGAUUCCAAGGUAACAACAGAGAAAUACAACAACAAAAGGAGCUCCAAUAACAGUAACAACAGUAAGGAAUCUUCUGAAUCUUCAAAGGAGAAGUCCAAAAUUACUGAAGAUAAAAGGCCCGACUAUAUUCAUGUCAGAGCACGUCGAGGUCAAGCCACUGAUAGUCACAGCUUAGCUGAACGAGUGAGUUAUAGAUUUGGUCCAAGUGUUUUUUACUACAUAUUACUACUGUAAUAGUGCUAACCUCUAAAACUGAUGAAAACACACGAAUUACUGAUAAAGAUUCAAUCUAUUAUGGCCAUAUUCACUAUUUAACUAGCAAAAAUACAAAGCACUGUACAAAGCAUAUUUUGAGGCUAUUAUUUAUGCACCGAGAGUAGAUACAAAGCAUAAGAUCUAUUUCAUAGUUCGUAUUUUACAAAAAUAAUUGCAUAAAAAAGAUAUUAGGGUUCCGGACUGAAGAGAUACGCAUAGAAGAAAAUACAGGGAGAGAAGAAAGGUGCUUACCACUCGAUUUCUCAACCGAGUACGCCGGAGAAGGAGAUUAAGAAGAGCAGCAGCCGAGCGCGGCCUCAACUCGCCAAAGAAGACGACCGAAUUGGAGUUGGAGGCCUUUUCCAGUAAAUAAACAUAAACAAAUAAUGGGAAGUUUAGAAGGAAAACGAAUUACUGCAGAGAGGUGAUUGUUUUGAGGUCUUUUUGACUGAUUUUCGCUGAUUUUUUAUCUGAUUUCAAGGUGAUUUGGACUGGAGGAGCUAUUUUGCUGGAAGAAGUGGUGAAGAUGACUGGAGGAGAUAAACGAUCUCCUUGUAAUUUCCGCCGAUAGUGAGCUGAUUGUACCCUAAUU